rnacentral:rRNA from 1 species
UAAAGCAAGAAAGGGCGUAUGGGGAAUGCCUAGGCACACUCCGGCGAAGAAGGACGCAGCAAACAGCGAAAUGCGACGGUGAGCGGUAAGCACGUGAAGAGCCGUCGAUAUCCGAAUGGGGGAACCCACACGGAGUCAUAUCCGUGUAUCACAUGUCGAAUACAUAGACAUGAUGAGGCGAGACGCAGGGAACUGAAACAUCUAAGUACCUGCAGGAAGAGAAAAUAAGAAUGAUUUUCUGAGUAGCGGCGAGCGAAAGGGAAAGAGCCCAAACCGAUUUGAGGAUCGGGGUAGUAGGAUCAUCGAUAAAUCAAACAGAGGAUCAUAGAGGAAUCACAUGGGAAGGUGAGCGAGAGAGGGUGAGAGCCCCGUACUCGAAAUGAGAGACUGGAGAGAGAUGACACCUGAGUAGGGCGGGACACGAGAAAUCCUGUCUGAAUCAGCCGGGACCAUCCGGCAAGGCUAAAUACGAGAGAGUGACCGAUAGUGAACCAGUACCGUGAGGGAAAGGUGAAAAGAACCCCGGGAGGGGAGUGAAAGAGAACCUGAAACCAUAUGCCUACAAGAAGUCAGAGCCCGUUAAAGGGUGAUGGCGUGCCUUUUGUAGAAUGAACCGGCGAGUUACUGUAUGGAGCGAGGUUAAGCAGGAUAUGCGGAGCCGAAGCGAAAGCGAGUCUUAAGAGGGCGCGAGUUGCAUGCAGUAGACCCGAAACCGGGUGAUCUAGCCAUGACCAGGUUGAAGUUGGGGUAAAACCCGAUGGAGGACCGAACCGACCCCCGUUGAAACGUUGGCGGAUGAGUUGUGGCUAGGGGUGAAAUUCCAAUCGAACCCGGAGAUAGCUGGUUCUCCCCGAAAUAGCUUUAGGGCUAGCGUCGAGAGAAGAGUUGCGUGAAGGUAGAGCACUGAAUAUGUGAUGGCCCCAUCUCGGGGUACUGAGCAUAAUCAAACUGCGAAUGUCACGAGAACAUGCUCGGCAGUCAGACAGCGGGUGAUAAGGUCCGUUGUCAAGAGGGAAACAGCCCAGACCAUCAGCUAAGGUCCCAAAAUGUAUGCUAAGUGGAAAAGGAUGUGGAGAUGUACAGACAACUAGGAGGUUGGCUCAGAAGCAGCCAUCCUUUAAAGAGUGCGUAACAGCUCACUAGUCGAAUGACUCUGCGCCGAUAAUUUACCGGGGCUAAGCAUACUACCGAAGCUAUGGAUCCCAAGGGAUGGUAGGGGAGCGUUCCAUGAACGGAGAAGUACGACCGAAAGGACGUGUGGAGAUCAUGGAAGAGAGAAUGCCGGUGUGAGUAGCGGAACGUGGGUGAGAAUCCCACGCACCGAAAACCCAAGGUUUCCAGAGGAAGGUUCGUCCGCUCUGGGUAAGUCGGGACCUAAGGCGAGGCCGAAAGGCGUAGUCGAUGGACAACAGGUAGAGAUUCCUGUACCCGUAUAUAUGUGAAGGAAUGACGGAGAGAGGAAGCUGCAGCCAGCGGCUGGAAGAGCUGGUGCAAGCGAGAUAUCGGGAUGGCAGGCAAAUCCACCAUCCGAAACGAGAAGGCGUGAAGCGUACGGAAAGCUACGGCGAGUACGGAAGGCAGUGGAGGAACUUCCAAGAAAAGUUUCUAACGUUAAGUAUAUAUGGCCCGUACCGAAAAUGGACACACAUGGGUGAGGAGAGAAUCCUAAGGUGAGCGAGAGAACUAUAGCUAAGGAACUCUGCAAAAUGACUCCGUAACUUAGGGAGAAGGAGUGCUCAUAGAGAUAUGAGCCGCAGUGAAACGGCCCAAGCGACUGUUUACCAAAAACACAGCUCUCUGCUAAGCCGCAAGGCGAAGUAUAGGGGGUGACGCCUGCCCGGUGCUGGAAGGUUAAGGGGAGGGGUUAACGCAAGUGAAGCCCUGAACUGAAGCCCCAGUAAACGGCGGCCGUAACUAUAACGGUCCUAAGGUAGCGAAAUUCCUUGUCAGGUAAGUUCUGACCCG